UUGAGCGGAGAUAUAUGGAGCUUGCUUUAUAUAACUUAGCAGCGAACGGGUGAGUAACACGUAGAUAAUCUAUCCUAUACUGGGGGAUAGCCCGAUGAAAGUUGGAUUAAUACCGCAUAUAGCUAUAUAGUUGCAUGAUUAUGUAGUGAAAGAUUUAUUGGUAUAGGAGGAGUCUGCGGCACAUUAGCUAGUAGGUGAGGUAAAGGCUUACCUAGGCGACGAUGUGUAGCUGGUCUGAGAGGAUGAACGGCCACAAUGGAACUGAGACACGGUCCAUACUCCUACGGGAGGCAGCAGUGGGGAAUAUUGCACAAUGGGGGAAACCCUGAUGCAGCAACGCCGCGUGAGUGAAGAAGGUUUUCGGAUUGUAAAGCUCUGUUAGCAGGGAAGAGGAAGGACGGUACCUGCAGAGGAAGCCACGGCUAACUACGUGCCAGCAGCCGCGGUAAUACGUAGGUGGCAAGCGUUGUUCGGAAUAACUGGGCGUAAAGGAUGCGUAGGCGGUUAAACAAGUUAUAUGUUAAAUAUAUAGGCUUAACCUGUAGAAAGCAUAUAAAACUGUUUAACUAGAGUGCAGGAGAGGUAAGUGGAAUUCCUAGUGUAGCGGUGAAAUGCGUAGAGAUUAGGAAGAACACCAGUGGCGAAGGCGACUUACUGGACUGUAACUGACGCUGAGGCAUGAGAGCAUGGGGAGCAAACAGGAUUAGAUACCCUGGUAGUCCAUGCUGUAAACGAUGGGUACUAGGUGUGGGUUGUGAAUAACAAUUCGUGCCGUCGCAAACGCAAUAAGUACCCCGCCU
rnacentral:rRNA from 1 species